rnacentral:tRNA from 1 species
GGGGCGGUAGCUCAGUUGGUUAGAGCGCUACGUUGACAUCGUAGAGGUCGAGAGUUCAAAUCCCUCCCGUCCCA